AACGAACGCUGGCGGCAUGCCUAACACAUGCAAGUCGAACGAGAUCUUCGGGUCUAGUGGCGCACGGGUGCGUAACGCGUGGGAAUCUGCCCUUUGGUUCGGAAUAACAGUUGGAAACGACUGCUAAUACCGGAUGAUGACGAAAGUCCAAAGAUUUAUCGCCAGAGGAUGAGCCCGCGUAGGAUUAGCUAGUUGGUGUGGUAAAGGCGCACCAAGGCGACGCUCCUUAGCUGGUCGGAGAGGAUGAUCCGCCACACUGGGACUGAGACACGGGCCAGACUCCUACGGGAGGAAGCAGUGGGGAAUAUCGGACAGUGGGCGAAAGCCUGAUCCACGAAUGCCGCGUGAGUGAUGAAGGCCUUCGGGUCGUAAAGCUCUUUUACCAGGGAUGAUCAUGACAGUACCUGGAGAAUAAGCUCCGGCUAACUCCGUGCCAGCCGCCGCCGUAA
rnacentral:rRNA from 1 species